rnacentral:rRNA from 1 species
UACGUAGGUGGCAAGCGUGUCCGGAUUUAUUGGGUUUAAAGGGUGCGUAGGCGGUCUAUUAAGUCAGUGGUGAAAUACUCCAGCUUAACUGGAGGGGUGCCAUUGAUACUGAUGGACUUGAGUGAAGUCGAGGUAGGCGGAAUUGACGGUGUAGCGGUGAAAUGCUUAGAUAUCGUCAAGAACACCAAUAGUGAAGACAGCUUACUAGGCUUAUACUGACGCUGAGGCACGAAAGUGUGGGGAUCAAACAGG